UCCCUGGUGGCUGAGACAGUAAAGAAUCUGCCUGCAAUACAGGAGACCUGGGUUCAAUCCCUGGAUAGGGAG
rnacentral:tRNA from 1 species